rnacentral:rRNA from 1 species
GAUGAACGCUGGCGGCGUGCCUAAUACAUGCAAGUCGAGCGAACAGACGAGGAUCUUGCUCCUCUUACGUUAGCGGCGGACGGGUGAGUAACACGUGGAUAACCUACCUAUAAGACUGGGAUAACGUCGGGAAACCGGAUCUAAUACCGGAUAAUAUAUUGAACCGCAUGGUUCAUUGGUGAAAGACGGUUUUGCUGUCACUUAUAGAUGGAUCCGCGCCGCAUUAGCUAGUUGGUAAGGUAAAGGCUUACCAAGGCGACGAUGCGUAGCCGACCUGAGAGGGUGAUCAGCCACACUGGAACUGAGACACGGUCCAGACUCCUACGGGAGGCAGCAGUAGGGAAUAUUCCGCAAUGGGCGAAAGCCUGACGCAGCAACGCCGCGUGAGUGAUGAAGGUCUUCGGAUCGUAAAGCUCUGUUAGUAGGGAAGAACAAAUGUGUAAGUAACUAUGCCCGUUUUGACGGUACCAACAGAGAAAGCAACGGCUAACUACGUG